YGGAGAGGGGGCCUGAGAGACGGCUACCACUUCCAAGGAAGGCAGCAGGCGCGCAAAUUACCCAAUCCUGACACGGAGAGGUAGUGACGAGAAAUACCGGUGUAGGACCCAAUGGGUACUACGUUCGGAAUGAGUACAAUUUAAAAACCUUAACGAGGAACAAUUGGAGGGCAAGUCUGGUGCCAGCAGCCGCGGUAAUUCCAGCUCCAAUAGUGUAUAUGAAAGUUGUUGCGGUUAAAAAGCUCGUAGUUGGAUUUGAGAACAUCGUAGUGUCAGUCUUCCUUCGGGAUGUAUUGAUCUACAGGUCUUAUAUUCUAGAAGUGCCCCUUUCCUUAGGGAUUGGAUCAGUACUCUAGAUCGUUUACCUUGAAAAAAUUAGAGCGUUCAAAGCAGGCGUAAUACAGCCUUGAAUAUAUUAGCAUGGAAUAAUAGUAACGACUUUGGUCCCAUUUUGUUGGUUCAUGGGCUAAAGUAAGGAUUAAUAGGGAUAGUUGGGGUCGCUUGUAUUGAGUUGUCAGAGGUGAAAUUCUAGGAUUAAUUCAAGACAAACUACUGCGAAAGCAUUCGACAAGGAUGUUUUCAUUAAUCAAGAACGAAAGUUGGGGGAUCGAAGAUGAUCAGAUACCGUCGUAGUCUCAACUAUAAACUAUGUCGACCAAGGAUUUGAGGUUGUUACAUGGAUGACACUUCAGGCACUUUGUGAGAAAUCAUAAGUAUUUGGAUUCCGGGGGGAGUAUGGUCGCAAGGCUGAAACUUAAAGGAAUUGACGGAAGGGCACCACCAGGAGUGGAACCUGCGGCUUAAUUUGACUCAACGCGGGGAAACUCACCAGGUCCGGAUACAGUGAGGAUUGACAGAUUGAAAGCUCUUUCUUGAUUUUGUAAAAGGUGGUGCAUGGCCGUUUUUAGUUGGUGGAUUAUUCUGUCUGGUUAAUUCCGUUAACGAACGAGACCUUAACCUAUUAAAUAGUGGUGCUAAUUUGGCCUUAGGGUCAAUAAAUUGGUAUUUAGACUUAAUACUUCUUAGAGGGACUGCUGGCUUUCUAGCCAGAGGAGGUUUGAGGCAAAAACAGGUCUGUGAUGCCCUUCGAUGUUCUGGGCUGCACGCGCGUUACACUGACACAUUCAACGAGUAUUUAUCCUAUCUUGACGAGGCCUGGUAAGCUUCUUAAAAUGUGUCGUGAUGGGGAUAGAGCAUUGCAAUUAUUGCUCUUGAACGAGGAAUUCCUAGUAAGCGUGAGUCAUCAACUCGCGCUGAUUACGUCCCUGCCCUUUGUACACACCGCCCGUCGCUCCUACCGAUUGAACGUUAUGGUGAGGACUUAGGAUGGCAGGAAUCACUCUGUGCCGCAAGGUACAUUGUCCCGUCAGAUUUCGUUCAAACCCUAUCGUUUAGAGGAAGGAGAAGUCGUAACAAGGUUUCC
rnacentral:rRNA from 1 species